AUGCGGCGGAUCUCGUGGCGGUUGGAGAAGAUGAUGAACGGUUUGAAAGGGUCUGGGGAACACAGGGGGGGCUCAGAAGGGGACGCAGCAGAGGGACCGGCAGCCCUCGGUGGGGGACAGCUCUGCCUCACGCCCCCCCCGCCCCGCAGCAGCCAGCGGACACUGCUGACAAAGCAGGAGCCCGAAGCCCCACCGCCCUUCCACCCCCCCAGGCCCUGCUUGGUGCUGCAGGAUCGAUGCCACCCGGGGGGGGGGCGAAGCCACGAGCCCCUCCCAGCCCCCCCGGCACCCACCGAGGCUGCGGCAGCUCUCUCCGUCGGGCUCCAGCAUCCAGCCCUCGUAGCACGAGCACUUGACGUUGUACUUGUCCUGCUCGCACUUCUGGCUGCACUUGAGGUGCUUGGCACAGUAGCUCUGGAUCUGGCAGGUCUUGUUGUCCGCUCCCAGCUCCAUGCCCAGGGGACAGGAGCACACGAUGCCCUCCCCGGGGGCCACGGUGCAGUUGUGGCUGCAGCCGCCGUUGUUCAGAGAGCACUGAUCUGCGGGGAGGGACGGGAUGUGCACUUCAGGGCCAUCCCUGUUUGUCAGCUCCAUCCAUGUGUGUGUCACCCCCAUCCAUGUGCCCAUGACCCCCAUCCCUGUGUGUGUCAGCUCCAUCCCUCUGCGUGUCGGCUCCAUCCCUGUGCAUAUCACUUCCAUCCCUGUGCCCUUCAGCUCCACCUGUGUGCAUCACCCCCAUCCCUGUGCACUUCAUCCCCAUCCCUGUGCGUGUCACCUCCAUCCCUGCGCCCUUCAGCUCCAUCCCUGUAUGUCAGUUCCAUCCCUGUGCCCAUCACCUCCAUCCCUGUGCGUGUCAGCUCCAUCCCUGUGCACUUCAUCCCCAUCCCUGUGUGCAUCACCUUCACCCUCAUGCCCAUCACCCCCACCCCUGUGCCCAUCAGCUCCAUCCCUGUGCAUUUCACCCCCACCCCUGUGCCCAUCACAGCCCCCCGCCCAGCACCCAGCUCACCGCACAGCUCGCCCUCGUCAGAGCCGUCCCCGCAGUCGUCGGCUCCAUCGCAGAGCUUCUCGGGGGGGAGGCAGAUGGAGGUGCUGUUGGCACAGGUGUGCGAGGGCGGUUUGCACACCAACGACUCGCAGUUCUCCUCGUCUGAGUUGUCCUCGCAGUCGCUGUCCCCAUCACAGACCCACGCUUUGCUGAUGCAGCGAGCUGCAGGAGGGAGGGAGGAGGGAUCGGACCCAGGGACAGCACUCACGGCGCCCCCCAUCCCGAGCGCAGGGCGGCCCCGCAGCUGA
rnacentral:lncRNA from 1 species